UGCUCAUUGCAAUGUGCAGUCCUCUUUGAACUCUGGUCUCUUUUGUUGUCAAUGCCGCUGCAGACUGCAGUCACAGAUUAUUUGCUGGUAAACCUCCCGAGACAGAGCCUGUUUGGGACGACUGUCUGUUGUACGAGAAUCUCACUCACAAGAUUUGUCUCCUGGAAUCUCUGGAGUGAUCUUGGACAUUUGUGAAGCUUUCAACACACCACUUGCUGAAUGGGAUUUGAAUUGGAAAUGGGCAUCCACUCACAGCAGCUGUGGUUACCUGAAAAAGACAAGCGCAAGACCGACCAGUCAAGUGACCUAUAGAUGGCGGAGGGGCUGUUGGCCCUAGAAAGUGAACCAGAGAGAGAAGAAGAAAAGCAACGAGCAGGAAGUAGCUUGCGAUCGAAGAGCUUCUUGGGUGGGGCUUACAGGAGGCACCGCCAGAAGAGCUGUGUCGGAGUAAGAAGAACGCAGGGACCAUUGUCCUCGGAAGCACAGACAGCAGAUGGGUGAUCUGACUUCCAGUGACUUGGAACUGUCUGGGAUCACACUGUUCAGAUGGGACCCUUCUAUUUAUAUAGCAAAUAAUCAUAUUAUCAGUAUGAAUUUAAUCCUCUAAUUUAUGUAUUUAAUCCUUUAAUGGAUUCCUUUGAGUUAAUUUUUACACUCGGUGCACAGAUUACCAGUCUUGUGGGGUUUGCCUUUUUUUUUU
rnacentral:sRNA from 1 species